rnacentral:misc_RNA from 1 species
GAUGAAGAACGUAGCGAAAUGCGAUAAGUAAUGUGAAUUGCAGAAUUCAGUGAAUCAUCGAAUCUUUGAACGCACCUUGCGCUCUUUGGUAUUCCGAAGAGCAUGCCUGUUUGAGUGUCAUGAAAAUAUCAACCUUGACUUGGGUUUUGUGCUCUAGUCUCGGCUUGGAAUUGGGUGCUUGCCGCUUUUACGAGCGGCUCACCUUAAAUGUAUUAGCUGGAUCUGUCUUUGAGACUUGGUUUGACUUGGCGUAAUAAGUAUUUCGCUAAGGACAUUUUUCGGAGUGGCCUCGUUUCUAGGACGCUUGUCCGCUUUCCAAUACAAGUUCCACCUCGUGGACAUGACUUUUUAUUAUCUGGCCUCAAAUCAGGUAGGACUACCCGCUGAACUUAAGCAUAUCAAUAAGCGGAGGA